rnacentral:rRNA from 1 species
CACGUAGGGUGCGAGCGUUGUCCGGAAUUAUUGGGCGUAAAGAGCUCGUAGGCGGUGUGUCGCGUCGGCCGUGAAAACCUGCAGCUUAACUGUGGGCUUGCGGUCGAUACGGGCAUCACUGGAGUUCGGCAGGGGAGACUGGAAUUCCUGGUGUAGCGGUGAAAUGCGCAGAUAUCAGGAGGAACACCGGUGGUGAAGGCGGCAUCCUGGACCGGUAUUGACGCUGAGGCGCGAAAGCGUGGGGAGCAAACAGG